CCCAGGAUCUUCCGAGGCGGGGCGGGAGAAGGCCCACCCCCGAGGGCUGCUCCCCACCACCCCCCUUCGCCCAGCAUGUGAGUCAGAGGAAACCACCCACAGCUCAGCGGGGUUUAAUGAAAGGAAGAGAUUCAUUCUCCCUGGAGCGGAAUAGGCACUCGGUGAGAGGAUGCCCCGCGCGUGCUUUAGGGCGGACCAAAACAGCCCUCCUUUUUGGUAAAAUCAUGAAGAGGCCGGGACGGCUCCACAGAGCUUUGCCCUAAAACACCACCUCGAAAAUGAACGCUCUUUUCCCUUCUA